rnacentral:rRNA from 1 species
GUGUCAGCAGCCGCGGUAAUACGUAGGGGGCUAGCGUUGCCCGGAUUUAUUGGGCGUAAAGAGCGUGUAGGCGGCCUGGUAGGUCUGCUGUGAAAACUCGAGGCUCAACCUCGAGAUGUCGGCGGAAACCGUGUGGCUAGAGUCCGGAAGAGGAGAGUGGAAUUCCUGGUGUAGCGGUGAAAUGCGCAGAUAUCAGGAAGAACACCAAUGGCGAAGGCAGCUCUCUGGGACGGUACUGACGCUGAGACGCGAAAGCGUGGGGAGCGAACAGGAUUAGAAACCCUCGUAGUCC